ensembl:lncRNA
CUUCCUACCUUGGGAGAGAUGCGAGUGGGUCAUUUAGCGCCGAGAUCCCGCCUGUAAAUAGCAUAAUAAACAACUUCCAAAUCACAGACCUAGUUUAGCCAGAGUUUGGUUUUAAAAGAAGACAAUAAAUCCAGUGUGUUCGUUCCUGCCUCCUUUUCACACCGCUUGGUGCACCGUCCCCUCUAUCUCGCGCACACAGUUUUGUUUUAAAGAAGCUUGUAACCAAAGCUCCGCCUGGCAAAGGAAUCAGUCCCUCCGCCCUCACCGGCUGAGGUCCGGGGGCAGUUAGCCAGCUCCAUGCCGGGUCCUUGGAACUGUCCGUAGCUGCGAGGCUGUUCGCCCUUCUAAGGCUUUCAAAGCUACACGGACAGAGUUGUAAUCAGUGUGUUCUAUAAAUCGUACAUAUACAUCUAUAAAUCAUCAAUCUAUAAAUCGUCCUCCGGGGACUGCUUAUUUCACUCAGUUAGUUCACACAAGGGUUCCCGAACUUGGCCCUCUCUGUCCCUUUGAGUUUUACUGGGGCCACGAUACUCUCCUGUUGUUACAGGAUGGGGAGGGAGCCUUUUUAUCCUUGCGCCGAGCCCAGCAAGCUGCUCCUCUCCUCUCCUGCCAAAUAAUCUUGGUGGGACAAGUUUGCAUUAAACAUCUCUUCUUCUUCACUGAAUUCUGCGCGCCGCCCUGCUCCUGAGAGUUGCCUUCUCCGAGGGCGCUGAGGAUUUUCUAAUCCCCACAUCCCAUAGUCUCUUCGAGUCCUCUCUAGCGCAUGACGCCAUGACUGUUGUUCUUCCCUCAGCUUGGGAGAAAUCGCCCUCUAACAAGCCACCAGCCGCUCCUUGCUUCACUAGUCGGGCAUGGAAGCGGGAGGACGGCCGGGACCAGAAGCGGCUGUUACUAGUGAGACUUGUGGGUCUCGGUUCGAGAGGACCCAAGGAUUGGUGGUGAUUGUACCAUCAAAGCAGUUUAUGGAACUAGCGGGUGAAUAGAAUUGAAGCCAGAUCGUCUUGUUCUGCUUCCUUUACAUCACUCUUAAGACGCCUGCCGGGUGCAUAGGAGCUUUGAAAACAGAGCCCACUGAUGUAGAGCAUGCUCUUAAAUUUCAUCAUCCUUAAAUCUAGACCAUUUGUUUUAAAUCUAUUUUAUGAGUGUGUAGAGAGAAAAAACCCCGAAAGUUCGGAUAGAUCCCAGCUCACCCGGGAUUCCUUAUUCUUCAAUCAAGCUGGACCACAAGCAGUUGGCGGACCUUGGCAUAGCCCUUUGCACCCAUUGUUUGGCAAUCCUGAGAGAUCAGCCAUACCGGCCCAGGAAGGGUCUAGAACUGGUACAGCAGGAGGGCUCCUGGGCCACUGGGCUCAUGAUGAGGAGGAAGGUGGCCCAGUUCCUGCCUACACCAUGCCUGGCUACGCCGAGCGAUACUGGGACAUCUCAGAAAUAGCUUCCCACCAAGUUUUUAGGAAGAAGAAGAACUAGGACAGGAUUCUGUGGAUCAUUCAGGUCCUCCUAACUCCCUCUUCCUCCAGACCCCACUCACGGUAACCUUGAGAGACCUGGCUUUCAGAAGAAUUGAAGGCAAAAGCCUGGAUCCCGAAGUCCCAGAUUAUAUCUACUAUUAGCAAUUUGGAAUACAUGCACUGAAAUGCAAUGAGAAAAGUGCCUCGAAUACAAACUCAUCUGCUAGACUACAAAUUGAAAAUCUGAUACCUUAUCAACUCAUUCAAGGAGGAAAUUGAUUGCAAUGAAGACAGAAAAAUGUCCGGUAGAGGGUAACAGCAGGAGUGCUUUCCAGGGAACUUCCCUCUCCCUGAAGAGCUUCAGGCAGAUACUGGAGGACUCACUCUAAAACAGAGGUUCUACCUUUUCUUGCAUCACAGAAGCCUUUGAUGACAUUCUGGCCAAACCUAUGGACACCUUCUCAGAAUUAUGCUUUUAAGUGCGUGAAAUAAAGAGGAUCCCAAAGGAAAUGAAUUAUAUUGAAA